rnacentral:rRNA from 1 species
CCUACGGGAGGCUGCAGUGGGGAAUAUUGGGCAAUGGGCGAAAGCCUGACCCAGCAACGCCGCGUGAAGGAAGAAGGCUUUCGGGGUUGAAACUUCUUUUGUCAGGGAAGAGUAGAGGACGAUACCUGACGAAUAAGCCACGGCUAACUACGUACCAGCGGCCGCGGUAGUACGUAGGUGGAAAGCGUUAUCCGGAUUUACUGUGUGUAAAGGUCGUGUAGCGGGGUUGAGAAGUCAGGUGUGAAAUCUUGCGGCUUAACCGUAGAACUGCAUUUGAAACUGUUGAUCUUGAGUACUGGAGAGGUAGACGGAAUUCGUAGUGUAGCGGUGAAAUGCUUAGAUAUCAGGAGGAACACCAGUAGCGAAGGCGG